rnacentral:sRNA from 1 species
GGCCUAAACCAAGUAGCAAUACUGGCAUGGUACAAAGACCCAUCGAAGAUAUAGAACCCGUGUUCUACAACUCUUCGAUGGGCAAUAUUUCGAAAGAAAUAUUGGGUCGCAAGACCU